UACGUAGGGUCCGAGCGUUGUCCGGAAUUAUUGGGCGUAAAGGGCUCGUAGGCGGUUUGUCGCGUCGGGCGUGAAAACUCAGGGCUCAACCCUGAGCGUGCUUCCGAUACGGGCAGACUAGAGGUAUGCAGGGGAGAACGGAAUUCCUGGUGUAGCGGUGGAAUGCGCAGAUAUCAGGAGGAACACCGGUGGCGAAGGCGGUUCUCUGGGCAUUACCUGACGCUGAGGAGCGAAAGCAUGGGGAGCGAACAGG
rnacentral:rRNA from 1 species